rnacentral:tRNA from 1 species
CUGAAUAGCUCAGUCGGUUAGAGCGACGGCUUCAUAAGCCGUAGGUCACAGGUUCAAGUCCAGUUUCAGC